AAACUUUCAACAACGGAUUUCUUGGUUCUAGCAUCGAUGAAGAACGCAGCGAAAUGCGAUAAGUAAUGUGAAUUGCAGAAUUCAGUGAUUCAUCGAAUCUUUGACCGCCCAUUGCGCCCAGCAGUAUUUUGCUGGGCAUGCCUGUCCGAGCGUCAUUU
rnacentral:rRNA from 1 species